CCCGAUCCGAGCUUCAUUAGGCGUUCCAUAGGUUGUAAAUGUUUACCUUUCUUUUGGCAAGGGGAGGUCGGAGUGCACGUUACACAUGUUGUGUGUGGAAAGCAAUGCACGUUGUCGUCAGAGAGCAAAGUGCAAAGAGAGGUAGCUGCAGACAACCACGGUCUGUUUUUCCCUCAAAAUGGCAGAGCUGACACUAGUUGACGAUGUGGCUGUUUUGAAAGUGAAAUACCCCCCUGUCAACGCUCUCGGAUCUGCGGUCAGAUCAGGAAUAGUGGAGUGUCUACAAAAAGCCAGUGUUAACCCCACUGUCAAGAGUGUAGUACUGUGUGGAGAUGGCCGCACCUUCCCAGCUGGUGCAGAUAUCUCAGAGUUUAACUCGCCAGCUAAGGCUAAUAAGAGUCCUAAUAUCAUUGAGGUCAUCCAUGCUAUUGAGGCAUCUGAGAAGCCUGUCGUAGCAGCGAUUCAUGGUACAGCACUGGGUGGAGGACUAGAGUUAGCUCUCGGCUGCCAUUAUCGCAUCAUCAGAAAAGAUGGAAUGGUAGGGUUUCCAGAGGUGAGCCUAGGCAUACUGCCCGGAGGUUCAGGUACCCAGCGACUACCCAGAGUAACCGAAGUAACUGAUGCUCUAACAAUGAUCACAUCGGGGAGACCUGUAUCAGCCAAACAGGCCCUAAGCAAAGGAAUUGUAGACAAGGUCGUUGAUGGUGACAUCGUCAAACAUGGUAUUUCCUUCGCCAAGUCCGUCGCUAAUCAACCUGUAGGUCCAAGACGCAUUAGUGACUGGAAAGUAAACGCGCCCCAAGAUGUUCACAAAAUCUUUGACGAAAUGCGGAGGAGUGUAAUCCGAACCUCAAGAGGUGCCAUAGCUCCCCUAGUUUGCCUUCAAUCCGUAGAAGCUGCUUUCAUAUGCCCCACCUAUCAAGAGGGACUCCAGAGGGAGGCUGAGUUGAUGAUGACUUUGAUGACAUCUGGUCAAGCGAGGGCGCAACAGCACGCAUUCUUUGCAGAACGGUCUGUUGCUAAGUGGGAGGUGCCCAGUAAAGGUGUUGGAUACAAGACGGCCAAGCCUGUGCCGAUCAGAUCAGCUGCAGUGAUUGGUGCAGGCACGAUGGGAGCUGGUAUUACCAUGGCGUUGAUUUCAAUCGGCAUACCUACGUACUUAGUCGAGCAAAACGAAAAGUUUCUUAUGCGUGGAGUGGAGACAAUUAAGGGGUAUGUUGGCUACAACGUCCAGAAAGGGCGGACUACAGCGUCCCAAGCCCAGAGGUUGCAGACCCUCCUCAAGCCGACCCUGGACUACGAGGAUCUAAGAGGAGUAGACAUUGUCAUUGAAGCCGUAUUCGAGAACAUGAAAGUCAAGAAAGAGAUCUUUGCCAGGCUGGAUUCCGUCUGUAAGCCGGACGCCAUCUUGGCUAGCAACACGUCGGGGCUGAAUAUAGAUGAGAUGGCUGCUGUAACCAAGCGACCAGAAAGCGUCAUUGGGAUGCACUUCUUCGCUCCAGCUCAUGUCAUGAAACUAGUGGAGAACAUCUAUGGUGAAAAGACGUCAGCUGUUGCUAUGGCAACUGUGAUGGAUCUCAGCAAGAAAUUAAAAAAGAUUGGAGUUCUGGUCGGUAACUGUCAUGGGUUUGUUGGUAAUCGAAUGAUGGCAAGAUACGUGACUGAAGCGUUGUUCCUAUUGGAGGAAGGGUGUCUUCCCCAUGAGAUUGACCAGGCCCUGAGAGACUUUGGGUUUCCAAUGGGGAUUUUUCAGGCAACGGAUCUAUCUGGAUUGGAUAUCGGAUAUAAAGGUCGCCAGGAGCAAGGACUAAUUGGCACUGGGAAUACCGCAUCAGCUCGCUAUAGAAACGGACAGAGAUAUUGUCCAUUGCCGGAUACCAUUGCAGAGAUGGGCCGCCUGGGUCAAAAAUCAGGUAAAGGUUGGUACAACUACGGCAAGCCCGGAGGUAGGAUCCCAGAGAGGGACCCAGAGGUGGAGCAACUCAUUGUGGACUUCUCAAAUAAACAUGGCAUCAAGAGGAGGAAGAUCUACCCAGAUGAAAUAAUUGAGAGGUGCCUUUAUCCUCUUAUCAAUGAGGGGUUCAAAAUUUUACAAGAAGGAAUCGCAAACAAGAUGGAAGAUAUAGAUAUUGUAUGGUUGUGCGGUUAUGGAUGGCCAAGGCAUACUGGAGGCCCCAUGUUCUAUGCCAAGCAAGUCGGACUUCAACGUAUCUAUGAGCGCCUCCUGCACUACCAAAAGACCUUCCAUCAAAGUAGCUACUGGCAACCAGCUGGAUUUCUGAAGAAGAUGACUCUCCAACUGGCCAAUAAACUCUAAUCAUCUCAAAACGUUCAUGGAAUCUUAAAGAAAGGAGAGAUUGUAAUCAUUGAAGAGCCAUGCCAUUAUGGAAUUUGCGAGGAGGGUGGAAUUAUCGUGAAACAACCGGAGUGUGAUCCACUCGAGUGUCCAGAGGGUUCAACAAUGGAGAGUGCUCCAACAGGAAGCUGCUGCCCAGUCUGUGUUCCCAUACCGAGUUGCAAAAACAACAGCAACCUAAACUACCUUGUGAUUAAAAACUGCAUUUCCGCCAACAUGAUUCGUGAGACGAGCUGCUCUGGGUCUUGUCCAUCUUAUGUUUACGCCCAAACCACAUUUGGGCUCAAGAUGGGAAGUUCCUGUGAAUGUUGUCGUCCAACUCGAUUGAGUGAAAAUACUGUUGAAAUGCAGUGUGAUGAUCAAACGACCUACAGUCAUACCUAUCAGGUGAUAGAAGAAUGUACCUGUAAAAGCUGUGUCGAAAAUCUAAGAAGAGAAGGAGUAGUUCACAACAUUUAACCAUUGUAACCAUUCUUUGCCUCCCUCAAAAAAUACAACUAGGAAAAAAAAAUGUCAAGGGAAGAUUCUUGAUUACAGUUUAACUUCAAAAAUGAAACGAGCCUUUUGUUUCAGUGCUAAACAGGCCUGACUUUAAUCAGUGAGCUUUCACAUGACAACAUUUCACUAGAGAAUUGGUACUGGUAUGAACUUUGGAAUCAGUGAGCUUUCACAUGGAAAUAUUUCUCUGAAGGAUUGGUACUGGU